GGGUGCAGUAUUGUAUUUGAUCGACGACGGGCUGGAGCAUGAUUAUAAUUAGUCCAAUAAUGAAAAGAUAAAUAUAAAGCAUGGGAAAGAGAGAGCAUGUAGAUAGUCGGCCAUAUAUAAAAUGUGGCAUAUUAGCCGUGAACUGAGAUGUUUAGCCUACCACAGGCUAGAGCAUUGUUGUGACUCAUCUAAUACCAAAAUCAAAUCAAAAUAAUGAACCAUAUCUAAUUGAAGGAUAUCUGGACUAGCCGGCACGUGUGAAAUAAGGUAUUAUGAUGUCAGCCG
rnacentral:lncRNA from 1 species